GGAGAUGUAGCUCAGUAGUAGAGCACUUGCCUAGCAUGCAUGAAGCGCUGGGUUCAAGCCCCAGUACUACA
rnacentral:tRNA from 1 species